rnacentral:ncRNA from 2 species
CGGGAAAUCAAACUCCUAGCCCCGGAGCCUAAGUUCGCGCGCAAGCGAGGAUAAGGUUCCCUGGCCGUGGCCGAUGGUCACCAGGGUGCAGGGUAGAAAUGCCCGCAUCUCCCGUAUUUGGAAAGGUGUUUAUGGUGAGUCAAC